rnacentral:snoRNA from 1 species
GCUGGUUGAAAAUCUACUGUGACUUUGCCAGUGGAUGCAGAUGAGAUUCGGGUCCCACAACCACCAGGGGCCUCAGCUCACUGCCCACUGCCUUAGUGUGAGAAGCAGAAAUCCAGGACCCAACAGGU